UGGGGAAUAUUGGACAAUGGGCGCAAGCCUGAUCCAGCCAUGCCGCGUGAGUGAUGAAGGCCUUAGGGUUGUAAAGCUCUUUCGGCGGGGAAGAUAAUGACGGUACCCGCAGAAGAAGCCCCGGCUAACUUCGUGCCAGCAGCCGCGGUAAUACGAAGGGGGUUAGCGUUGCUCGGAAUCACUGGGCGUAAAGCGCACGUAGGCGGGUUGCUAAGUCAGGGGUGAAAUCCUGGAGCUCAACUCCAGAACUGCCUUUGAUACUGGCGACCUUGAGUCCGGGAGAGGUGAGUGGAACUGCGAGUGUAGAGGUGAAAUUCGUAGAUAUUCGCAAGAACACCAGUGGCGAAGGCGGCUCACUGGCCCGGUACUGACGCUGAGGUGCGAAAGCGUGGGGAGCAAACAG
rnacentral:rRNA from 1 species